GUCUGGGGGGUGGUGCUCAUCUCCAUUUCUAAGCUGAAGAGCCGGCGCUGUCUGUAGACACCUCCAAGGUCAUGUGGCCAGCAUGACUGCAUUAAGCGCUGUUACCCUCCCACUGGGGCGGUACCUAUUGAUGUACUCACACUUGCAUGUUUUCGAACUGCUAGAUUUGCAGAAGCUGGGGUUAACAGCAGGAGCUCACCCCACCCUGCGGAUUUGAACCACUGAUCUUCUGAUCGGCAAGUUCAGCAGCUCAGCAGUUUAAUCCACUGUGCCACCACAGCCCCAGGUAAAUCUCAAAAGAACCAGUCAAAGGAAGAUGGAAGUCAACUUUUUUUUUUCCUCUCUACUCUCUUUUCCUACUUUCUAACAAAAUAAAUGUUCUCCCACUUUC